rnacentral:rRNA from 1 species
AAGUAUUUAAGGGCCGCGGUAUUUUAACCGUGCAAAGGUAGCAUAAUCACUAGGUUUUUAAUUAGAAUCUUGUAUGAAUGGUUCGACAAAAGAAUUACUGUCUUUAUAUUAAUUUUGAAUUUAACUUUUAAGUGAAAAGGCUUAAAUAUAUUAAAGGGACGAUAAGACCCUAUAAAACGUUGUGUUGGGGAGACAAAGGUAAAAUGUUUAACUGCUUUACAUUAAAACAUAUAUUUAUGAAAAGAUCCUUUAUAGAGAUUAAAAGAUUAAGUUACUUUAGGGAUAACAGCGUAAUUCUUUUUGAGAGUCCCUAUCGAAAAAAGAGUUUGUGACCUCGAUGUUGAAUUAAAAUAUCUUUAUAGUGCAGAGGCUAUAAGAGAAGGUCUGUUCGACCUUUAAAUUUUU